ACCUACAUCCUCCCACAGACAGAGAAGGUUCUGUUAGGACCUACAUCCUCCCACAACAGACAGAGAAGGUUCUGUUAGUUCCUACAUCCUCCCACAGACAGAGAAGGUUCUGUUAGUUCCUACAUCCUCCCACAGACAGAGAAGGUUCUGUUAGUACCUACAUCCUCCCACAACAGACAGAGAAGGUUCUGUUAGUACCUACAUCCUCCCACAACAGAGCGAGAAGGUUCUGUUAGUACCUACAUCCUCCCACAACAGACAGAGAAGGUUCUGUUAGUACCUACAUCCUCCCACAGACAGAGAAGGUUCUGUUAGUACCUACAUCCUCCCACAGACAGAGAAGGUUCUGUUAGUACCUACAUCCUCCCACAACAGACAGAGAAGGUUCUGUUAGUACCUACAUCCUCCCACAACAGACAGAGAAGGUUCUGUUAGUUCCUACA